GACGAACGCUGGCGGCGUGCUUAACACAUGCAAGUCGAACGGAAAGGCCCUGCUUUUGUGGGGUGCUCGAGUGGCGAACGGGUGAGUAACACGUGAGUAACCUGCCCUUGACUUUGGGAUAACUUCAGGAAACUGGGGCUAAUACCGGCUAGGAGCUCCUGCUGCAUGGUGGGGGUUGGAAAGUUUCGGCGGUUGGGGAUGGACUCGCGGCUUAUCAGCUUGUUGGUGGGGUAGUGGCUUACCAAGGCUUUGACGGGUAGCCGGCCUGAGAGGGUGACCGGCCACAUUGGUACUACGGUACGCACCAGAAUCCUACGGGAGGCAGCAGUGGGGAAUAUUGCACAGUGGUCGGAAGCGUGAUGCAGCAACGCCGCGUGCGGAAUGACGGCCUUCGGGUUGUAAACCGCUUUCGCCUGUGACGAAGCGUGAGUGACGGUAAUGGGUAAAGAAGCACCGGCUAACUACGUG
rnacentral:rRNA from 1 species